rnacentral:lncRNA from 1 species
AAAAAUCUGCACAGGAAUGUUUCACCUGGUUUUAAAACAAAACCAAGUGCUACCUAUAUGUAUGCCAGGAUCAAGUUUCAUACAUAUAGUGACAUCAUAAGUGAAUAACAGCAACAAUAUCACGUAAAGAAACACAAAUAAAGACUUACGAGACUAUCAGAGAUACACAGCUUAAAUACUGGAAACGGAGGCUACAAACUUCACAGGCAAUAGACUGGGGAUUGGGUACGCCUAGUACUCAGCAUCAUCUUCACAACUUCAGGGCAGUUUCUUCUUCUGAGCAACGUUGGUUAUAGCAAGGGUGAGCACAUGUCGUACUCAACAAGUGUGAGGAGAAUAUGAAUGCAAGGUUUAAACAAGGAAAGGUUGACUGGUUGACUGCAUUAAGAAUUUUUAGUUGGUCAAAUUUUAUUAGCACCUGGUUACUAAAGUAUAAGUAUAUACUAACCCACAAUUAAUAGAAACAUAACCAUAAGCCAUAUAGCACAACCAUAACCACGAUUUAAGUCCAUCUUCAAGUAUAUUAAUCAUGUGAGGGUCCAGGCCACUCUUGACUGUAAGCACGGCUGAUCAAUCAAUUUUACACUCUGCAGAGGUUGAACAUCUUUACCCACAAGUCGUGUAAAAGUUCAAAGAACUUUAGACCCAACCAUGCGGUGCUAGCUAGGCACCAUACCACACUUUCGAGGUGUGAUUGCAUAGUGACGCUACGAGGCCUUUACAAAGAUUCGCUAGUAAGUGGUAACCCGCUAAGGUUUCAUGUUGAAGUAGAGCAUAACAGUCCCCUAGUGGGUACAAUGUCUUAGAAAAGCCCACUUCCCAAAAGAGCGAGUGCUAUACCCCAUCAACGCCUUCCCUUUUGUCCUUUCGGUAAGAUUACCCUAGACUAGAGUUUCUAAUUAUUUAGCCAAGACCAAAUCCAUUUAGUCUUGUGGUAGCACUAUUUUCCUAGGUGGUCGCUCCAUGUUCCGAUUAAACAUUAUGAUCUUGUAUUAGUGGAAGGUAUAGCAUCAGUAAAUCAAAAUUAAUCAUUGAUUUUAGUUGAACCACCAUAAGAAGUAUAGCAGCUAAGCAUAGCUACCCAACAGAAAGAUAAACCCAGGUUAACAAGGAAUGAUCAUAAAAAAACUAGUCAAACAUUAAUAGGACCCAUCAGAUUAAAUGCAAGCAUAUGAAAUAGUGAUUAAAUAAAGUUAUUGGGACAAAAGCAUAAGGACACACUUGCCUUUCUCCAACGAAAAGUUACUCUUACUGGUCUUCAGCGCUUGCUCUCUUGAAACUCUUACUCUUCAAAUAUUCCGAACAGCGAUCCUUCUACAUCAAAGCAAUCACCGGGACAAACAUACAAGCAAACAAACAAGUACAACUAAGAACAAUACACCAAAAGAAAACAAAGGCUUUAAAAGAGCAUACUAAAGGGCAGGGCUCGAUUCUAAGAUUAUGCGAAUGUAGGAAACGCUUAGCACGAAACUAUGGUUGAAAAGAUAAACCUACCGAGAGAUUUGAAUCAUAAAAGAAAAGACAAGAGCUACGCGCUGCAUUUAUUUUAGUUGAGAAAAACAAUGUAACGAUAUUUUAGAGAAAUAUCCUUAGGAAGAAUUAAUUAAGUCAUAUUUAUAUUUUCAUACGAAAAGACAAUGUAAAACUUAGUCCAAUUUUAUUUAUAAAUAUUUACGUAUAAGUAUGCAAAUUAAACAUUUAAUUAAAAAAAUAAGAUACAUGUAAACAUCUAAGCGCAUAGCUUUAUGAUUCGGGUAGAACCAAUUAAAUAAUAAUGGAAAAGCACAUUUAUAUUCAUAUUAACCAUAUUAACAUUUAAUUAUGAAACUCGAGUAAUCACCUAAGUAGCUUUUAUUUCGAAAUCAAAUUGAAUAAACAUUAAUCAAAUUGAAUUUAAUUUAUGAAACAUUGAGGUAUGUCUCUAAUUGUCUUUUAAUUUGAAGAAUCAUUUAGAUAAGUGUUAAUCAAAUUAACUUUAGUUAAUGAAAAACCAAUAUAUCACUUAAUUGGCUUUUAUUUUGAAAAGGAUAUGAACUAAGAAUUAACAGAUUGAAGUUUAUUAUGAAAAGCGGUAUAUAACUCUGAGUAGAUUUUAUUUAGAGAAGGAACACGUUUAUCAGGCAUUAAUCAAUUUAAUAUAAAUUUUAUUUUCAAAAACAUGCAUGAAGGAAAACAUUAUCACUAACGUGUAAUUUAUGUUGUUAUGAAUCUAACACAACUUGAACGAGGUUAAACGGAGUUAAAACGUGGAAUCUAUGAGCUAAACAGGGCUGCAGGGACCUAGUUGCGAUUAACCGUAGAUCUUAGGGGUUAGCAAGAAAGGUUACCGAGACAUGGAGAACAGGGCUUGCGAAUAGCUAAAAACUCAAGGUUAGAUCUGCAAAAGGUCAAGGCUUGGAUUAGAUUGAACUAAACUGAAUAGAUUGAGGACUUCUCUGUAAAGUUGCAAGACAUAUGAAAGCUGACAACGAUUUACAAGAUUUCCCAGGGGCUAGGCUGCAAAAUGACCUUAUCUCCUUCUUCAAUCCUUCCUCACACCGGCGCAUGGGGACAGCUCCAGCCGGCCGGCUUGCCGGCGCUUCGGCGCGGCGGAGGCCCGGGCGGGUGGUGCAGGUGGUGGAGAAGGGCGAGGGCAGCUCGAGGGAGGUGCUCACCGGCAAUGGGGAUGCGACGUUCCGGCUGGAAUCGAGUGGAC